rnacentral:rRNA from 1 species
UCAGAUUGAACGCUGGCGGCAGGCCUAACACAUGCAAGUCGAGCGGCGAGCGGGAAAGUAGCUUGCACUUUGCCGGCGAGCGGCGGACGGGUGAGUAAUGCCUGGGGAUCUGCCCAGUCGAGGGGGAUAACAGUUGGAAACGACUGCUAAUACCGCAUACGCCCUACGGGGGAAAGGAGGGGACCUUCGGGCCUUUCGCGAUUGGAUGAACCCAGGUGGGAUUAGCUAGUUGGUGGGGUAAUGGCUCACCAAGGCGACGAUCCCUAGCUGGUCUGAGAGGAUGAUCAGCCACACUGGAACUGAGACACGGUCCAGACUCCUACGGGAGGCAGCAGUGGGGAAUAUUGCACAAUGGGGGAAACCCUGAUGCAGCCAUGCCGCGUGUGUGAAGAAAGGCCUUCGGGUUGUAAAGCACUUUCAGCGAGGAGGAAAGGUUGGCGCCUAAUACGUGUCAACUGUGACGUUACUCGCAGAAGAAGCACCGGCUAACUCCGUGCCAGCAGCGGC